AUGGGGCCUCCUCGGACAAGUUACAGUGGAAGAACAAAGAUGCUGGUCGUCGUGUCCCACGACCGGGACCUGCUCAACACCGCCUGCAACGGUGUCAUACAUUUGCACGACGAGAACCUCCACCUCUGCUGUGGCAACCUCCAUGAUUUUGAGAGCGGGUACAAGCAGAGCAGGAAGGACGCGAACAGAAAGGCCGAGGUAUCAUCCACGCUUGCUCUUGCCGGCGCCCUUGACGUCUUUGUCGCGGAAGUAGCGACCAAAGAUGCUAUAUGGAUCAAACCGGAUCUCCUCCUCGCCAGAGCUGUACGCCCCAUCAUUGCGACGGCGCGCGUGUUCCUCCUCUGCCGCUUGUGGAGGAUGCUGGCACAGAUGGUUUCCUCUUCCGCGGUAGCGCGCGCCUCCUCCCAUAUGGGACGACGCCCCAGCCGAUGGAUCAGGAGUGGUCCGAGUCAGAUCUACUACGCGCCAUGCCGGAAAAGGCCGAAGAUCACCAGACGGGAGCUUGGGGGCGAAGCGAAGCAGAGUGUAGUGGCUAGGAGUAUCAGUGCCUUGGAAGGAUCUCUGGAUGAGUUUCAAAUAGGUGUGGUCUUGGCUAAAAAGAAGAAGGGAAAACUUGUCUCCAGAUUAAGUGGCGGUCCACCUGGCCCUCUGUUCAUCCUCCCACGUUUCACGUGGUGUCACUGUGUCGGCAAGGAGGAGAACAUACGCAAACAGGACUUCACGGGGUGGCCGACGUGGUCGAUUGGUGAUCUAGCUCCAAAGUCCACACGGCCGUGGAGCAUAUCGAUCGUGUCCGGUCUCAUCAGCAGACUGUUGCAUGUUCAGGCGUCAAGCUACCACCGUCGAAAAGUACACCGGUCAGUCGAGGGAUCCACCAGCAACCAGGUGCACGCACGGACGCCACAUGUGAAGUCCAGCAAAGUCCACACGGCCGUGAAGCAUAUCGAUCUCGUCCGAUCUCAUCAGCAGACUGGUGUUUAUCCCAUGUUCACGUUAAUUUCCUGGCAGUUUCUCUCGUCGACGCUGGCGACUUUGCUAACCAAUGAUAAAUGGCUAGCUGGAUCGAGAUCAAGAGCCUCAUCAUGUGGAAAUUUUCGCCCCGUUUCCCGGCCGGAAAUAGACGGGUGCCCACGGAUAAAAGCCGCGGCCACCCACGACGCGGCCGGGGCGACACCAUUUUUCUAUCUAUCCAACAUUCCGACCCACCCAGCCAGCCGGGGAGCUCCGUCCGUCCCCACCACGCCGCACGCGCGGGCCGACCGACGACCCGACCCCAUCAUCCACACCCUCGCACGCGCCCCGCGGCGGGAGGAGACACCCACCUCCCGCUGA
rnacentral:rRNA from 1 species